ensembl:ncRNA F55A12.12 ncRNA
UAAAAACACGGAAGAAUUAACCAGGAAGCUUUCAAAAUGAAAAAAUGGAAGAGAAGUAAAAGGAAAAAAAGGUGAAGAAGAGCACAAGGAGCUUUAUUGUUUUUGCUCUUUUCUCUAUUUCUCUGAACUCUCACUCUAU